rnacentral:rRNA from 1 species
ACGACUGCUAAUACCUGAUGUGCCGAGAGGUGAAACUUUUAUGGCCUGUGGAUGAGCUCGCGUCUGAUUAGCUAGUUGGUGGGGUAAAGGCUCACCAAGGCGACGAUCAGUAGCUGGUCUGAGAGGAUGAUCAGCCACACUGGAACUGAGACACGGUCCAGACUCCUACGGGAGGCAGCAGUGGGGAAUUUUCCGCAAUGGGCGAAAGCCUGACGGAGCAAGACCGCGUGGGGCAUGAAGGUUUGUGGAUUGUAAACCCCUUUUGAUUGGGAAGAAUAACUGACGGUACCAAUCGAAUAAGCCUCGGCUAACUCCGUGCCAGCGGCCGCGGUAAUACGGAGGAGGCAAGCUUUAUCCGGAAUUAUUGGGCGUAAAGCGUCCGUAGGUGGUUUAGUAAGUCUGCUGUUAAAGCGCGGGGCUUAACUCCGUAUCGGCAGUGGAAACUACUAGACUAGAGUGUGGUAGGGGUAGAGGGAAUUCCCAGUGUAGCGGUGAAAUGCGUAGAUAUUGGGAAGAACACCGGUGGCGAAGGCGCUCUACUGGGCCAUAACUGACACUGAUGGACGAAAGCUAGGGGAGCGAAAGGGAUUAGAU